CGCUGGCGGCGUGCCUAAUACAUGCAAGUCGAACGGUCUUUCUAUGGAAGCUUGCUUCCACUGAGAAGAUAGUGGCGAGCGGGUGAGUAACACGUGGGUAACCUGCCCAUAAGAGGGGGAUAACAUCCGGAAACGGGUGCUAAUACCGCAUAGUUUUCUUGAUCGCAUGAUCGGGAAAGGAAAGACGGCCUUUGUGCUGUCGCUUAUGGAUGGACCCGCGGCGUAUUAGUUAGUUGGUGAGGUAACGGCUCACCAAGACGAUGAUACGUAGCCGACCUGAGAGGGUGAUCGGCCACAUUGGGACUGAGACACGGCCCAAACUCCUACGGGAGGCAGCAGUAGGGAAUCUUCCGCAAUGGACGAAAGUCUGACGGAGCAACGCCGCGUGAGUGAAGAAGGUUUUCGGAAUCGUAAAACUCUGUUGUCAGAGAAGAACAAGUUGGAGAGUAACUGCUCCAGCCUUGACGGUAUCUGACCAGAAAGCCACGGCUAACUACGUGCCAGCAGCUGC
rnacentral:rRNA from 1 species